GUGCCAUUAGCUCAGUUGGUAGAGCACAUGACUUUUAAUCAUGGUGUCCAGGGUUCGAUUCCCUGAUGGCGCACCA
rnacentral:tRNA from 1 species